GAGGAUCGGGAACAGCAAGGAGGGUCACCUCUCUCUCUCUCUCUCGCCCCCCCUCCCGGGGGUAUUUCUCUUAAUCUCUCUCUAUCUCUCUUCUUCGAUCUGGCUUUGAUGUUAGCCUAGGUUUAGAUAGGCGAUGGAGACCCAAUGGAUCGCAGAGUACCCGCAUGUGCCCGUGGACAAGCGCCCCAGGAAGAGGCCCCGGCUCGCUUGGGACGUGCUCCCUCCUCUCCCUCCUCCCUGGGUCACUCCAACACUAUAUUGUGGACAGGAAGUUGUGAAUGGGGCUAGUAUAAACCAUUUGCUGCACUCAUGUUACUUCACUGGAGUUCCUCGCCCUGCAUCUCCUCCAUGGAGAGCGGAUGACAAGGAUGGUCAUUAUGUUUUUGCAAUUGGAGAGACUCUGACCCCGAGAUAUAAGAUACUCAGCAAAAUGGGUGAAGGAACAUUUGGACAAGUGUUGGAAUGUUUGGACUUGGAAAAGACGGAAAGAGUGGCUAUCAAAAUUAUUCGUUCACUUCAAAAAUAUCGAGAAGCUGCAAUGAUUGAAAUUGAUGUGCUUCAGAGACUUGCAAAAGCUGACAUUAGUGGUACACGUUAUGUGCAAAUACGGAAUUGGUUUGACUAUCGUAAUCAUAUAUGUAUUGUCUUUGAGAAGCUUGGACCAAGCUUGUAUGAUUUUCUCCGUAGGAACAGCUAUCGGUCAUUUCCCAUUGACCUAGUCCGGGAGCUUGGCAGGCAACUUUUGGAGUCUGUAGCAUUUAUGCAUGACUUACGGCUUAUCCACACGGAUCUGAAGCCUGAGAAUAUCCUUCUUGUGUCAUCUGAGUGUAUUAAGUUUCUGACACGAUCAGCUAAGGAUGGCUCAUUUUUUAAGAAUCUGCCAAAGUCUAGCGCUAUCAAGCUUAUUGACUUUGGGAGCACAACAUUUGAACAUCAAGAUCACAGCUAUGUGGUGUCAACAAGGCAUUAUCGUGCUCCAGAAGUUAUUCUUGGACUUAGAUGGAACUAUCCUUGUGAUUUAUGGAGUGUGGGGUGCAUUCUUGUUGAGCUUUGCUCGGGAGAGGCACUCUUUCAAACCCAUGAGAACUUGGAGCAUCUGGCUAUGAUGGAGAGGGUGUUAGGCCCACUGCCACCGCACAUGGCCACUAGAGCUGACCGCCGUGCUGAGAAGUAUUUCCGGCGAGGACUGCGGUUGGAUUGGCCUGAAGGGGCAACUUCAAGUGAAAGCGUGAGAGCAGUUUAUAAGUUGCGUCGCCUUGAGAACCUGGUAACGCAGCAUGUUGAUCAUUCUGCUGGGGAUUUGAUUGAUCUUCUGCAAGGGCUGCUCCGCUAUGAUCCGACUGAGCGUCUGAAAGCACGAGAGGCCCUUAGACACCCGUUCUUUAUGAGAGAUCGUGGAAGAUACAGUUAUUCUUUUAUGUAAGGGCGGUUUCUCUUGGUUUGUUGAUUGAACCUGUGAGAGCUGUGAGAAGAUGAGGUUAUGCUAUACAAAUGGGUAUUUGGACAUGCUGGCUUACUGCAUAAUGAACUGUAAGGUUGCUGCUGUACAGAGAAACAGCAGUAAAACUACGUUCAGUUCACUCAAAAAUUAGGCAAGCUGACCGAUGCCGGGACAGAUUUUCGCAAAAGCUUCAAGUGGACAUGUAGCAAUUCUUUUGGAUGAAGGUGGUGGUAGGGACUCAAUAGAAGUGAGUCCAAAGUUGAACACCUUCUCGAACGCGAAGAAAAUGACAAGAGAGAGGGAGAGGGGCCGAGACAGGCAUAAAGGAAUACACCAAACGCCAUCAAAGAACUUGUCCCACACUGACGCGCGAGAGAGAGAAAGACGAAAGCGGAGCCACCCACCCACCUCCGGCAUCAAUCGUUCGAUCCGCGUCGUCGUUGCGCUACAUCUCUGGCAGUGGCGGUGAUGAGAGAGGAGAAGAAGAUGAUGGAGGGCGCCUUAGAGGAGCUCGAGUGAUGGAUCCACUACCUUAGCUCCCUCAUCCAGCGCACCAAGCUCAAGCCCGACGGCGAGCCGGAGAAGCACCAACACCAGGAGCUGGCGAAGCCUGAUAAGGAGAAGCAUCGCCACCACGACCAUCAGCAGCAGGAGAAGGAAGGAGAUGAGGUUGUUGAUGGUGGGGAGGAUGAUCCACAAGAGCAGCAACAUAACGUGCAAGGGCAGCGGACAUGCUGCUGGAGCUCCAGAAGCGGGCGUUCCGGUGCGCCCGCGAGACGCUCGCUGCCAUGCCCAAGAUCGACAACAAGCGGCUCGCGCUUGCCUUAUUCUCCCUCUGUUUUAGAUUUGUUGUUCUCCAACCCAAACCAUAUAUUAAACGGGUUAAACGGG